rnacentral:ncRNA from 1 species
UAUUGAGCAACGACUGGAUUACAGUAACAGCUGUUUCCCUGUUUCAGAGAACUGAUGGUUGGUGAAAAUCAGUACAUAAACAGACUGUGAAUUACAUUCCAUGAGCAUCUGAAGCUGCAAUACGCGGCUGAAGACGGCUGCGGCCGUUAUCUGAUUGAGCGAAGAAUGGUUAUUUGUUGAACUAUUCUUAAGUAGGGUGGUACCGCGACGAAAUUCGUCCCUUCA